CCAGGAUAUGCCGGGAUCAGCACAGGCUCCCUCCACUCUGUUGUUCCAUUUAUCUCUGUUGAUCCUGUGUUGGAGGCACAACACGGAGACCCCAGGAGAUGGGCAACAGCAGCAGGAAUUGCCCUGAGGGGCUUGUUUUGGCUGGGAACUGGGAUCAGCACAGCCAGGGAAUCACAUUAAAUAAAUAUAUAGCGAGCUGCAGUGUCACAACAAGUAGAUGUACAAUUACGAAGACAAAAUACCCCAAGGAAAUCAACACAAGGCUUAUUAAUAUCCAGGCCUGCAGAAGACAACUGUCAGACAAUUGGUCAACAAGCUCGAGAUCAGCUGAGACAGACGGUGUGGAUUGAUUGAAAUCAGCCAAGUAACUGCUUUUAAUCGUGAUUUAAAUCAAAAAGUGAGAAACCUUGGUUUAACUAAUUGAUUUUUAAAUUUGCUUUGCAUUUGUGCUUUUUCAGUUUCCUAAAU